CCUCCAUGGCCAAAAGCUUGGAAAAAUUCCAUUUUCUUGUAACUUCCUCAUUUCUCCACCAAAUCUAGCAAAGUUUGUGUUGAAACUUGAUGGAAAUAGCCUUCUAAACACAUUGGCACUAGUGGCAAGCCUUGAAACCCAUCAUAUUUUGAGAAAUCCCCUCCCCAAAAUCGCGGCCCUCUUCCUUAGAUUUGUGUUCUUGGUGGUGAUUGAUGCUCCAAUGGUUGGAUAUGAUGUGGAGGAGCCUUAUACCCACCUUUUGAGUUUCCUUUCUCGGACUCUAUAGAGGAGAAUUAAGCUUGGAGCUUACGUUGUGGAGCAUUGGCUUCAGAGUUGAGGUUAGGUUGAGCCUGGAGGAGAGGAGCAUGAGGUGCACAUGGAGGGCAUAGCAUGUUCAAGGAUUUUAUCGAAUACACCUAGUAUGGUGUUUAAUACUUUGGAUUUAGGUUAUGAGCUUGUGCAUGUUGAUAUUGCCAUGCUUUUGUAUAUUCAUGACUAUAUGUAAGUCUUUCAAAAAAUGGAUGUAUAACUAUG